AACGAACGCUGGCGGCAGGCUUAACACAUGCAAGUCGAGCGCCCCGCAAGGGGAGCGGCAGACGGGUGAGUACCGCGUGGGAACGUACCUUUUGGUUCGGAACAACUCCGGGAAACUGGAGCUAAUACCGGAUAAGCCCUAACGGGGAAAGAUUUAUCGCCGAAAGAUCGGCCCGCGUCUGAUUAGCUAGUUGGUGAGGUAACGGCUCACCGAGGCGACGAUCAGUAGCUGGUCUGAGAGGAUGAUCAGCCACACUGGGACUGAGACACGGCCCAGACUCCUACGGGAGGCAGCAGUGGGGAAUAUUGGACAAUGGGCGCAAGCCUGAUCCAGCCAUGCCGCGUGAGUGAUGAAGGCCUUAGGGUUGUAAAGCUCUUUUGUCCGGGAAGAUAAUGACUGUACCGGAAGAAUAAGCCCCGGCUAACUUCGUG
rnacentral:rRNA from 1 species